rnacentral:tRNA from 1 species
CCAAAGUGCAAAUUUGGAAACGCACCCCAAACGGUGCCGGGGCUUCUCCCGUUU